ACAUACUGUGAGCUCGAUGAGUAGGGCGGGACACGUGGUAUCCUGUCUGAAUAUGGGGGGACCAUCCUCCAAGGCUAAAUACUCCUGACUGACCGAUAGUGAACCAGUACCGUGAGGGAAAGGCGAAAAGAACCCCGGCGAGGGGAGUGAAAAAGAACCUGAAACCGUGUACGUACAAGCAGUGGGAGCACGCUUAGGCGUGUGACUGCGUACCUUUUGUAUAAUGGGUCAGCGACUUAUAUUCUGUAGCAAGGUUAACCGAAUAGGGGAGCCGAAGGGAAACCGAGUCUUAACUGGGCGUUAAGUUGCAGGGUAUAGACCCGAAACCCGGUGAUCUAGCCAUGGGCAGGUUGAAGGUUGGGUAACACUAACUGGAGGACCGAACCGACUAAUGUUGAAAAAUUAGCGGAUGACUUGUGGCUGGGGGUGAAAGGCCAAUCAAACCGGGAGAUAGCUGGUUCUCCCCGAAAGCUAUUUAGGUAGCGCCUCGUGAAUUCAUCUCCGGGGGUAGAGCACUGUUUCGGCAAGGGGGUCAUCCCGACUUACCAACCCGAUGCAAACUGCGAAUACCGGAGAAUGUUAUCACGGGAGACACACGGCGGGUGCUAACGUCCGUCGUGAAGAGGGAAACAACCCAGACCGCCAGCUAAGGUCCCAAAGUCAUGGUUAAGUGGGAAACGAUGUGGGAAGGCCCAGACAGCCAGGAUGUUGGCUUAGAAGCAGCCAUCAUUUAAAGAAAGCGUAAUAGCUCACUGGUCGAGUCGGCCUGCGCGGAAGAUGUAACGGGGCUAAACCAUGCACCGAAGCUGCGGCAGCGACGCUUAUGCGUUGUUGGGUAGGGGAGCGUUCUGUAAGCCUGUGAAGGUGUGCUGUGAGGCAUGCUGGAGGUAUCAGAAGUGCGAAUGCUGACAUAAGUAACGAUAAAGCGGGUGAAAAGCCCGCUCGCCGGAAGACCAAGGGUUCCUGUCCAACGUUAAUCGGGGCAGGGUGAGUCGACCCCUAAGGCGAGGCCGAAAGGCGUAGUCGAUGGGAAACAGGUUAAUAUUCCUGUACUUGGUGUUA
rnacentral:rRNA from 1 species